GAGUGGAGAUGGGAUUGAGAGGGAAGAUGAGAGGAUAUGAUGGAAGGGAGGAGUAACAAAAGUGAAAACAAAGACUAAAAACUGAAAUCUAUUUCAAAUUGUUUUCACAUUCAAGUUUUGUUUUCAUCCUCCCCUCUCAUCCUCUCUCUCAAU
rnacentral:miRNA from 1 species